CUGUCUAAUGUGCAACUGCUCCAUGGCGCCACUGUUUACAUUACUGUCAUAGCGACGAAUGCUGCUGGGCUCUCUACUGUUACAUACUCUAACGCCAUCACAGUAGACAUGACUGCACCACAGUUCGACCUCAUCAGUGAUGGUCUGGAUGGACGAGAUGAAGACUAUCAGACAUCAGGCGUGGUGAGUGUCUACUGGCAAGUCAGAGAUGAAGAAUCAGGUGUAGAACACUGCGACUGGGCUAUUGGGAGGACACGAGGGAGCAGUGACAUGAAACAGUUUGAGAGGGUCCCCCAGGUCAGUCCA